CUUACCAAGAUCAUUGCUCAAGAACUAAAUUUUGCAUAUAUUAGAGAGCGGAAUUAGCACUACGUCGGGAAGAGCAUUCCAUGCUAACUUCUCUCUAAGCAACCAUUAAAGGUCAUGUUUUGACGACUAACUGGCAUGUCUGCACCUUGGAUCCCCUGAGAAGCCCUCCCCAGGUUUCGAGAGCCACGGGCAAGAUUGGUGGAUGUAAUAAUUUGGUCAGCGCAGUCCUGGCAAACAAUUCCACGACUCUACAUAGCGAUGCGUGGUGCCUACCUACAAGCACGCGUGUGUUUCGAUCGGGUAGCCCCUCAGACAGACGCAUCCGCACACCUCCACACGUAAACCGGGAUAAGACAAGGCACCUUGGUCUAGGGAAGUGGCGAUCACCAAUCCACCAUUAAGCGAAGCAAAACAGAGUUCAUCGAGCGUUUAAUCGAUCAUGCCACCGUCUGAGGUAAGAGCGCACAAUCUGUUCAGCGUAUUUCCCGAGCGCCUCUCGGGUGCCAGGCGCUGUACUGAGCGCUCGGGAGAGCUCCGGAGCGAUUCCGGAUCUGGAGGUCCAACUUUCAUAAAGAGGCUUCUCGUUCUCAACUCCUUUCGCUCAGAUUCAUCACAUUUAUUGCUACUUUAUUUUCAGAUCACUUAAGCCAAAAAUGCAGACAGUUUAGGUACCUUUGAGUUGUUAAAAGUUAUAGCCAAUUUUCUGAAAAAUUAUACCAGCUAAAAACACAACAUUAAAUAUUUACCCUGUUGGAUGUUAAAAAACGCUUACAAUGAAAAAUGUUCACAUAUUGACUAUUCAAAAUGGCCUUCACUUUGAAAUUGUGAAAUGGAAAGGGAUUGCAGAUGUACAAGAAUAAAUAUAAAAACAAAUGAGUUGA